GACGAACCGAGCGAACGUUGUUCGGAAUCACUGGGCUUAAAGGGUGCGUAGGUGGGAAGGUAAGUCAGUGGUGAAAUCCCCGAGCUUAACUUGGGAACUGCCAUUGAUACUAUCUUUCUUGAAUACCUUGGAGGUGAGCGGAAUAUGUCAUGUAGCGGUGAAAUGCUUAGAUAUGACAUAGAACACCAAUUGCGAAGGCAGCUCACUACACGGUCAUUGACACUGAGGCACGAAAGCGUGGGGAUCAAACAGG
rnacentral:rRNA from 1 species